rnacentral:rRNA from 1 species
AGAGUUUGAUCCUGGCUCAGAACGAACGCUGGCGGCAUGGAUUAGGCAUGCAAGUCGAACGUGAAGUUUUACUUCGGUAAAACGGAAAGUGGCGAAAGGGUGAGUAACACGUGAGUAAUCUGCCCCCGAGUUUGGAAUAGCCCCGGGAAACUGGGAUUAAUGCCGAAUGUUGCGCAUAAUCGCAUGGUUAUGUUGCUAAAGAUUAUCGCUCGGGGAUGAGCUCGCGUCCCAUAAGCUUGUUGGUGAGGUAACGGCUCACCAAGGCUAAGACGGGUAGGUGGUCUGAGAGAAUGGUCACCCACACUGGGACUGAGACACUGCCCAGACUCCUACGGGAGGCUGCAGUCGAGAAUCUUCCGCAAUGGGCGCAAGCCUGACGGAGCAAUGCCGCGUGAGGGAUGACGGCCUUCGGGUUGUAAACCUCUGUCACCCGGGACGAAUCAAUGACGGUACCGGGAGAGGAAGCCACGGCUAACUACGUGCCAGCAGCCGCGGUAAUACGUAGGUGGCGAGCGUUAUUCGGAUUUACUGGGCGUAAAGGGUCCGCAGGGGGUUUGCCAAGUCUGAUGUGAAAUCCCGAGGCUCAACCUUGGAACUGCAUUGGAAACUGGUGAACUAGAGUGCGUCAGGGGAGAACGGAAUUCCUGGUGUAGCGGUGGAAUGCGUAGAUAUCAGGAAGAACACCGAUGGCGAAGGCGGUUCUCUGGGACGCAACUGACCCUCAUGGACGAAAGCGUGGGUAGCAAACAGGAUUAGAUGACCUGGUAGUCCACGCCGUAAACGUUGUGCUCUCGAUGUGGGCGGAUUUGAUCCCGUCCGUGUCUUAGCUAACGCGUUAAGUGCACCGCCUGGGGACUACGGCCGCAAGGCUAAAACUCAAAGGAAUUGACGGGGGCCCGCACAAGCGGUGGAGCAUGUGGCUUAAUUCGAGGCAACGCGAAGAACCUUACCUGGGUUUGACAUAUGCCGGAUCGUCCGUGAAAGCGGAUUUUCCCUUCGGGGACUGGCAUACAGGUGCUGCAUGGCUGUCGUCAGCUCGUGCCGUGAGGUGUUCGGUUAAGUCCGGCAACGAGCGCAACCCGUGUCGUCAGUUGCCAGCAGGUAAAGCUGGGGACUCUGGCGAGACUGCCCGUGUCAAGCGGGGGGAAGGCGCGGACGACGUCAAGUCCGUAUGGCCCUUACAUCCAGGGCUGCACACGUGCUACAAUGGCCGGUACAAUGAGCAGCAAUACCGCGAGGUGGAGCAAAUCUCCAAAACCGGUCCCAGUUCGGAUUGUAGUCUGCAAUUCGACUACAUGAAGUCGGAAUCGCUAGUAAAGGCGCAUCAGCAACGGCGCCUUGAAUACGUUCCCGGGCCUUGUACACACCGCCCGUCACAUCAUGGAAGCCGGCUGCACCCGAAGUCCGUGACCGAACCCGCAAGGGACGGAGCGGCCGAAGGUGUGUCCGGUGACUGGGAUGAAGUCGAAACAAGGUA